GCCAUUAGCUCAGUUGGUAGAGCAUCUGACUUUUAAUCAGAGGGUCAGAGGUUCGAAUCCUCUAUGGC
rnacentral:tRNA from 1 species